GAAAAUUCAUAUGCCACGAAUGUUGAUUUUGAAAUACAUGAUUAUACCGAUGUUUGCGAAACAAUAGUGAAUAUUUUUAUUUCUUGAACAGAAAUCAUAGUUGAGGAUUUGCAGGAAAAAUAUCGAGUUGGAAAAAUUCAACAUCAAAAAAUUCCGCAUUUGAUGGAACAUCUCAUUUCAUUUAUUGAAACAGGAGGAAUUUAUGUGGUAGGGAAAUAACGCAUCCUUAUUCUUGUGGAACCUGUCAGAAGUCCUAUAAAUACUCUCACUCUUUAAGUAGACACCUGAAGUACGAAUGCGGGAAAGAAGCAACUUUUGGAUGCUUUGUCGAAGGAUGUCCCUACA